ensembl:lncRNA
AAAUAAGUCAUCGUAAAGUGUGUCAAAAUAGUGAAGAAUUAAGUCAUAGAAAUGGUGAAACGGGUAAUAGUAUACCUUGUUGAAUUAAGUCAUAGUAUAGCUUUUUGACAUGGUCAAAAGGGCGUGUGAAAAGCGUCAUAGUAUAGCAUGUCAAAAAUAUGAAAAAGAAGACAUUGUAUAGUGUGUCGAAAAAGUGAAACAAUAUAUCAUAGAAUAGCAUGAUGAAUUAAGUCAUUGUAUAGCGUGUCGAAAUGGUAAAAAAGUCAUAUUAUAGUGUAUCAAAAUGAUGAAAAAGGACAUAGUAUAGCAUGUUGAAUGAAGCCAUAGUAUAGUGUGUCCAAAUGGUGAAAAAGGUCAUAGUAUAGUCUGUCGAAAUGGUGAAAAAGGGCUAUAGUAUAGCAUGUUGAAUGAAGCCAUAGUAUAGUGUGUCGAAAUGGUGAAAAAGGUCAUAGUAUAGUCUGUCGAAAUGGUGAAAAAGGGCUAUAGUAUAGCAUGUCGAAAACGUGAAACAAUAAAUCAUAGCAUAGCAUAUUGAAUUAAGUCAUGGUAUAGCAUGAUGAAUGAAGUCAUAGUAUAGUGUGUUGAAAUGGUGAAAAGGGCUAUAGUAUAGGAUGUCGAAAAAAGUGAAAAAAUAAAUCAUAGUAUAGCAUGUCAAAAUGGUGAAGAAUUAAGUAAUAGUAUAGCAUGUUGAAUGAAGCGUGUCGAAAUGGUGAAAAAUGUCAGAGUAUAGCAUGUUGAAUUAAGUCAUAGUAUAGCGUGUUGAAAUAGGUCAUAGUAUAGCGUGUCGAAAUGGUAAAAAAAAUGUCAUAUUAUAGCAUGUUGAAUGAAGUCAUAGUAUAGUGUAUCAAAAUGGUGGAAAAGGACAUAGUAUAGCAUGAUGAAUGGAGUCAUACUAUAGCAUGUCGAAAUGGUGAAUGAAGUCAUAGUAUAGCGUGUCAAAAUGGUGAAGAGGGUCAUAGUAUAGUGUGUCGAAAUGGUGAAAAAAGGUCAUAGUAUAGUCUGUCGAAAUGGUGAAAAAGGGCUAUAGUAUAGCAUGUUGAAUGAAGCCAUAGUAUAGUGUGUCGAAAUGGUGAAUAAGGGCUAUAGUAUAGGAUGUCGAAAAAAGUGAAAAAAUAAAUCAUAUAGCAUGUCAAAAAGGUGAAGAAUUAAGUAAUAGUAUAGCAUGUUGAAUGAAGUCAUAGUAUAGCAGGUUGAAUGAAGUCAUCGUAUAGCGUGUCGAAAUGGUUAAAAAGGUGAUAUUAUAGCAUGUUCAAUGAAGUCAUAGCAUAGUGUAUCAAAAUGGUGAAGAGGGUCAUAAUAUAGCAUGUUGAAUUAAGUCAUAGUGUAGCGUGUCAUAAAAGUGAAGAAUUAAGUAAUAGUGUUACAUAGUGUCGAAAUGGUGAAAGAGGUAAUAGUAUAGCAUGUCGAAAUUGUGAAAAAUAACUCAUAGUAUUGCAUGUUGAAUUAGGUCGUAGUAUAGCGUGUUGAAAUGGUGAAAUAAUAAAUAAUAAUUAAUAAUUCUUCCCUUGGGCCUGGAGCCGGCCUCCGAGGGAGCUCAGAACAACCUCCAAAAACAAGUGCAGGGCUCAUGUGGCCGUCCAUCCAGUGAAGGCCUCGC